AGGCAGACAUCAAUUUUAUGGACAAUAGCAAUAUUUAUUUAACAUGCUGCUUAAGCACCCUAGAACAGACAGCGUACAUUUGCAUGUGUUCUGUAGUAGCAAACCAUUACAAUAUAUAUGUCACACCUUUUUGCAUUUCAUAUUGCAAAAUUUUGCUUUUUCAAUUUCUGAUUCAGUCAAAAUUUCUGUUCCAGACAUGCAGUAAUGAGGACGGCACCAGUAUAAAGCAACACACUCCACGCACUAAACAGAAGCUGCUGCCUGCUACAACAAGGUCGUUGUGUGGACGUUGGCUACUACUACAAGAGUCUAUGCCAAGCACAUCUUGGCCAUCACAGGAGCUCCUAUCUGCACCAACAGGAAGGGGCUGGAGCCGAAUUUGCAAGGCUUUCACACCACGAACAAAGAAGCGCAUGCAGAAGAAUAUGGAUGAGAUAUCAAGUUUGCAGAGGACUGUGUUAAGACUGAAAAGAGCUUCAGCCACCAUUCCACCUGCACGGACAUUUGGCUGAGUCAUCCAGGUAACUCAAAAAGGACUUUCUAGAAAUUCGUCUUCAGAUGCACUUGCAACAUCCGACCAAGCACGGACGAUGCUGGCGAAAAGAUAGAAUUCCGUCAGUUUGCCCUUAAUCAGCUUCCUAGCCAUGUCAAUUCCGUUUGUGCCAAGUGUAUUUUUUCUUCUAUAAAUGCAAGCUUUUUCAUUGCC
rnacentral:lncRNA from 1 species